rnacentral:lncRNA from 1 species
CAGCAUUGCUGUCAUUAGGGAAUUGUCAUUAAGUACCUAUAGAACAACCAUUAUUUCUAGUUUUUCCUGCACAAUGACGAUCACUAAGACGCUUGAUGAACGUAAAUAGUGCAGGGAUACAGGCGACCCCCUCUAUCUGGUAAAUGACGUCAUAAAGGCGCGUAUAAUUGACGAGUUUUUUUCGGUGACGGAUGAACUCGAAAGUGGUCUAUUC